UUUGUGAGCGCACGCAGAGGACGCACCGCCACACGACGGCCCUCUGAGCCCUCUGAGCCCGCAGUAGCAGUGCUCGGGCACGCGAGAUCAAGAUUCAUCCCCCCGUCGUCACGCGCCGAGGAGACAUGUCCCGGCAGCGCGUCCUCCCUUCCGUUGUCGUCGUCGUGCUGACGCUGCUUCUCGCCUGGACUGCAACAGCAGCGACAACAGCAGCCGUCUCGGGUGCCGCGCAGGAUGGCAGCGAGAUGCACCCGUGUGUAGACUGUCACGCUUUCCAGUUCAUGCAACGCGCACUCAGUGAGAUGCAGCGAGCUGCCAACAACUUGAACACACAGACGGAGGCGCUGCUCGCCGGCGUAGCAGCACGAGAGCGUUGCCGCUGUGAUCUAUCCCUCCCUGUGCUGGGAGAAGACACCAAGACCUGAGAGAACUCAGGACGACCCCUGUCCCACUGCUGUAUACAUUUGUAGUUACCAUAGGCCUUCUUCCGCUUCUUUCCCUCGGCCAAAAGUAUCCAAUCAUCCAACUCACUGUCCACUCUUCAAUUCCCUUUGAGCAACCUCUUACAGAUGACAUCUUGAGAUACAGUAAAACCACUCUCAUCCAUAAUCAUUCAACCAUAGUUCCUGUUACCAGCAGAGGUUAGUGGAUGUAAAUUUGUACCCGUUUAUUCGAUACGUUUAUAUGAAGGAUGGCAGAUAAGAGCCUCUUGGUAUGACGAGUUCGUUGUGACUGUGAUGCUGUGGCUGUGGCUAAAUAUCUAAACCACAGCCACUGCCUCGUGCAUAAUACAUGACAUAGCAUGGGGCAUCCCCCGUGUGAAUAAAUAAACUCGACAUCAGAAAUAUUUGAACCUUAUGGCGGGACCCCGGGGUCCCGAAUAAACGGAAGUCAAAAUCAUAAUUAAUUCAUUUAUUUUUGACGACUCCGUCCCACCGCGCACAUAAACGCCGCGACCCACCUGGCGCGGUUCAUUCUGUUGUCAUGUCCUCCAAGCACAGCGAGGACGAAUGCGCAGAAGAAACAAAACUUUGAAACUUUGAUUAGCGCAUCGUGUAGAGCUCGUCGAGAGGAAUAGAUUUCCGUAUCGUUCACCUUCAACAACGCAGUUUAUGCAAGAGCCGGGGGCUUAUGGGACCCCGGGGUCCUGCCAUAAGGUUCAUUUGAUAAAAUGUUAUUUAUCACGCUUUUCACUCCAGAAGAUUAACCAAGCACUCCAAUUUCCAUGAGAUCCAUUUACAUCUUAGAACAGAGAAAGUCUCGACAUCUACAUACAAUAUCAUUGAUUCUGGGACGGGCCCUUAGUUGUCACAGCAAGCAUCUAAGUCAUGCAUGCCACGAAAUUCACUGCAUUUCAAUGCUGGACCAAUCCGAGCUAAAUUGCCCUCACGUGCUUUUGGAAUAUAUAUCAACAGAAAUAUCUCCAUAUUUAAGGCACUGAAUUUAUAAAGAAAAUCUUGGGAAUUGGUACAACUAUAUGAGCUUCAUAAAAUAGGAUUAUACUUGCUUUUCAUUUUCCAUAUUUGAUAUACCUAUAAAAAAUGAAUGGAAUUGCUAAAAAUUUACUUUACCAAAAUAAAUUUUGUCAAGCAAUAACAAAACAAUUGGAGGUGCAUACUGGUUAAGUUGUACCAUUAUGGGGCUACCUUCAUUCAGCAGUAGAUUUGCAAAAUCCAAAUUUAUCACGAAAUAUAUCUGUAUUUCAAAUGUUCUAUAGCGUGAUACUUUCUCAUUUUUUGUCAGGUAAUUAUUCUGUCUGCUUUGAAGAAGGAGCAUUUCCCACAAACAUUGGACUGUCCUUAAAGUGUGCCCCCAUAAAAAAAAACUGCUUAUAGCUGCGUUUCAAUUUUUUUCUAUGUUCCGGUAAAAUGACUCAUUUUGUAUUCCUGGUAUUUAGACAGAGAAGUGAUUGCGUUUUGUCACUAGGGGUGGGGGGCUGGGUGGUCCGUGGAAAUAUUUGCAUCGGCUGAGUGGUCCGCGGGCCAAAAAAGAGAAACACUGUUGUCAGGCACAGGCAGGGUGAAUAGUGACAACAUAGUGAGGUUGUUUAUCACUUGGUGCAUCCAGUGGUUACUGAUGAAUCUCAUCUUCCAACCGUCACACAGGAAGGCUCCAGUUUUUGCAUGGAAGUCACGGAGUGGUCACGGAAAUCAUAAAUUUAAAGUUUAUGACAUCUUAAACAUAGCUGUGGAAACAUUUCAUGAGGUACUUACGUUUUUUCUUUAAAAAAUGCUGUACUGCAUGUGCUGCACAGACAGACGUGUGAGGGGCGUCAUGAGGAGGGAUGGGGCCAUAUGGUUAUCCCCAUAAGAACUGUGUCCCCGUUAUUUUAUUAUUUUUAAAACGGUUAUAUUCACAUUGACUUGAAAUGUAAAAAAUACUCAAAUUGGUAACUUUAUGUAUUUUAAAACGUUUACAAACUUUCUUUUUAGAAUUUUAACUUAAAUACAUAUUGAUAUUUAUCAUACAAGACACGUUUUCAGAUGGGGCACCAUCCCAUGUUAUUCUGUGACCUUUCUGUGAAUAGUUUUUUUCUCCUACAUGUCAGUCUUGAAUUUUACUAAAAUAACCGAACCAAAAUCAGAGCCUUAUUACUCCUGUCAACUCAUCAGCACCACCUCUAUGAUAACCGCCGCGUUAAGUUUGAAUGGAGCAUGUUAUGCUUUCAACAACGUGUCUAGAAACGUAUGUGUGGAGUGUGGCAGUCUCAGUACCGUAGGUGUUUGCUUAAAACUAAGCUUAUGUUCAGUCCCCUUAACAAAAUAUGUUUUAAAGUGUAAUUAGACUGUGGUAAAUGUAAUCCAAUUGCUAUGUUAUUUAAAUAUGUAAUCAUAAGGAACUGGGCAUAUAGUUAUAUUUUAGUGAUGAAACAUUCCAAACAUUUAUGAAAAAUACGUUGCAUGUUUAGUGUGGUUUAUUGAAUUCUAAUACUGUUUUCAGACUUUUUAAAGAGUUGUUGGGAAACAUGUUGAGUUUAUUUUAUAGACAGCACACCAUUUCAAUCACUUUCUACGCAGGUGAACGGCAGUGCAGUGCCUCUCCUCCAUCACCCCCAUAUCCGAAUACCGUUACCUUUGGAGACCAGCAGAUCCAUAGUUCUAUAUAAAAAAAAUUACAGUAAAUCUCCUAUACAUAUCUGUCCCUGCACAUCAAGAAUUAAAGUAUUUUUUUCCUGUCAACUGCAAGGCUUACUGGGAGUGAAACACAAGCAAAUUCUGAGCUGGUUUUGACGCAAGGUCUCAUCAGCAAAGUCCGGCUUGAAAAUAUGCUAGUUGAAUUCUAGUGAAAUCAGUUAUCUACCUUGAUGCACACAUCUCAGGCCUAUAUAAGACCUUGUCUCAGCAGCUUUCUCUCUCUCUCUCACCUGAAGACGAUUGCUUGUGUUGCAAUCGACACGUGAUGUUUAAUUGUUUUUCUUUCUACGUGGCUUUACCGAAAGACCCAAAGAAUAUUAUGGGAAGAAAUUGGCUUGCCCAGAGAAAACCCACACAACUUUUGAAGAUACCACUCUAAUUUCUGCAGAGAUGGGUUUAUGUGACAUGUUUGCUACGUCGUAUCAUACAUAGCACAUUUGCCAUAAUAUGGAGUCUUACCACUCUUCAAAUAAUUAUUAAAUACAUAUAUUGUCCACUAUCAUAUACAGCAGGAGAGAAAAUACUCCCAUGCGAGGCUCCUGUAGAAGAGACGUUUGCUCAUAGAAAUUAUGGCAUGCAAUGGAUACUCUAGUUGAUUUGCAGAUGUUGGUUUGCCUGUCCUUAAUGUACCAUUUUCACUAUUUUUUGCUUUAUAGACUACUAGGGCAGGUGUUGUUAACGAACACAUAUUACAGACAGCACAACACAAGAGGUAGUGUGGCCAAGACUACACACUGCCGCCUUCGACCCUCCAAUACGCUGCUGCCAAACGUAUCUGCGUUUUAGACGGAGGUGCCCAAGAGGACCCCAGGGCGGACUCGCAUCUGAAUUGCUGCAGGCGUUUUAUAUAUUCAGAAUUUGAAUCCGGAUUGUGGGGCUCUGGUGCCUAAAGUUCCACAUACACACAAAUGCAAAUUUAGUCAUUUGUAAACAUAAUAAUUGUAUCUAUAAAUAUGAAAGGGAAACUUGUGAAUGUGUGUCUGUUCGAAAUGUUUAGCGUACUUCCCGACAUGCCACAAACUUAAAAUUUGACAUGUGGGUAGCUUCCAGACUGUAUACCAUGCAAAAAGUAUAAAAAUAGACUUUUGCAUUUUGGGGGGGGGGGGGGGGGGCGCAAUAAUGAAUAUCUUUUGCACGGCAAGUGAGCGGUGACGUCACAUCUGUGAUGUCACAUUUGUGAUGUCACCCGCAUGCGGCAGCGUUACGCAGUGUGCCUGCUGACGUCACGCACCCCCCCACCCUCCGCGUAGGCCGUGUAUUAAUCCAAGACAAGAAUCCAAGUCUCGGGGGAAGCCGGGUAGUAAAGCUCGUCUACCAUACACUGAAGAUGGCAUUUUAAGAAAAUGUGGCAGCUUCACGAUGUUUAAAUGGGCCCAUUAUAUCUAUUUACAUCAACAACGAUUUGUUUCCCUGAGCAUCUCUCCCCUCUCCCCAUCACGUGGGGAAAAUUGCUGUCCUACUUUUACAGCUGAAGAUGAUCCACACAUUGUGCUGUUUGUAUUAGUGAGCUGUUAAUAAACCUAAUGUAGCAUUUGGUUAUGUCUGCAUGUUGUGAUAAAUAUUGUUACUGUAAUACCAUAAUAACAAGUGUAAUUAUCUCUGUUUUAAUAUUAAAAUGUUAGUCUUAACCCACAUCGGCACCGUGUGUACUGUGAAUUAUUGACAAAACAUGCAAACACAUGAAUCUGGAGCCAAGUUAUACAUAUGCGCACGUCAAAACGUGAAAUACAUUUUUGCUCAACAGUAGGGUGUAAUUAAUUUCCCCAUGUACAUUUAAUGAAUCAGAUAUUGGAUAUUAAAUUAUGCAAACACCAUGAACAAAAUACCUUGCUCCAUGCCUCCAUUCCCCAAUAUUUUUCCAAAUCUCAGCACAAAGUUGAGAGCAUCUUAUCAUUGCUCUAAGCUCGCCCUAAUCAUUUCGUUAUUGAUGCAUGCGUGGACAA